CGGACGGGUGAGUAACGCGUGAGUAACCUGCCUUUCAGAGGGGGAUAACGUUCUGAAAAGAACGCUAAUACCGCAUAACAUCAAUUUAUCGCAUGAUAGGUUGAUCAAAGGAGCAAUCCGCUGGAAGAUGGACUCGCGUCCGAUUAGCCAGUUGGCGGGGUAACGGCCCACCAAAGCGACGAUCGGUAGCCGGACUGAGAGGUUGAACGGCCACAUUGGGACUGAGACACGGCCCAGACUCCUACGGGAGGCAGCAUG
rnacentral:rRNA from 1 species